AAAAAAAAAAAAACUAUUAGUUACAUGGGCCGGGGACCCCACAAAGAAACUUCGCCCAAUGCAUGUAAACCAAGUACUAGUUUAAUUCAAUGACUGUAAUCCAACCUUCUAAAUAAUCUAUAUUUGAAUGUACCAUUAUUAUUUGUCAUAAUAUUUUACUUAUGUCAUUGUCAAGGAAAUAUCAUAAUAUUGCUAUUUAUUUAUUUUAAGUAAAUAACAUUUGUAGUCUAUAUAAUAUGAGUGAAAAAUAUAUAUUUAUAAAAAAAUAUAUAUAAAAACAAAAAAAAAAACAAAAAAUUAUUUCCAGCGUUCUACUUCAAUUAUUGUUUACUGCAUAUACAAAUGUUUCAUCGCCCUAAAAUAAAAGAGUUUGUGUUUUUUUUUCUUAAUUGUUUUUAUAGUAAAAUUUGACCUCAAACUGUUUUAAUUUUAUGUCAGCUAUUCUGGCAUAAUAUUUCUCCACAAUAAACUCAAUAGGUAGAUACACAUUUUCAUGUAAUUAAUCGAUAACAAAAUUCGCUAAAUAUCAUAGUCAAUAUACAGAUUGAAAAAUUAUAGAUCAUUCAAUAUUAGAUAUGACAAUUAGUAGGUGGUAGGUGGGGAUACUAUAAUACUUACUUCUACACCUUAAGAUUUUUUUAUACAAAUUAUAAAAAAAGUAAUUUAAUAAUCAAUAAUGUAAAAAUCAACUUUUUAAGAAUCUAAAAAAACACAGAUUAUUUUGUGUUGACCUCCGGAAAAAAAAAACCAUUCAUAAAAAAUAAUUUUUUAAAAAACUAUUAAAAAUAAUUUUUUUAUUCAAAGCAAUUUUAAAAUUAUCUUUUUAUAAAAAUAAAUGAAAAUUUUCAAAAAUAACUAUUGUUUUUUACAGUAAUGUUUUUCCGAAAUAAACUGUAACAAUACCAUAUGAAACGUGAAUCUAUCAAGUCAAUGGGAGGUUCUAUCCUUCGUUCUUUGCCUCUUAUUGAUAAAAACAAAAUAGAUACACUCGAUGCAUGAUUAAUCUGUUUAGAAAAUGACAUAUUUAAAAUAUAGUAAUAAACCACUUGCAAAAAAUGUCAUAAUAAAUGACUUCAUUGGAAAAAUAUAUAAAAUUUGACUUUGUCAAAACAUAGUAAUAUUGUUUUUAACAAUUCUUAAUACCUUGAGUAGAAAAAACAAUUUUUAUAUCUUUUAAUUCAUUUACAAAUUUAAGAAUUUAGGGGUGGUUCUCUCUCCAGUGUUGAGACUUUGUAGUUUUGUUUUUUUAAGUUAAGUCUCAAUACUUAAAAAAUAUAUAUAUAUAUAUAUAUAUAUAUAUAUAUAUAUAUAUAUAUAUAUAAUUUAUCUCGUCUUUAAUAUUAUUUUUAUGAGUCUUGAACAAGUGUCUUAUAAAUAUUUGUUAAAAAACUAAAAAUAAAAAUUUUGCAUUGAAAAAAAUAAAAUUUAAACUUUUAAAAAAAUUAAACACACAAAUUUUAAUACAAUAUUGCUAUUUUUUUAUUAUUAACAAGUGUCCAGUUCUUAACAUUUCUCUAUUUUUAUAUUUAAAUAUUACUAAUGUAAAAUAAAUUUUACACAAUUAUUCAUACAAGUAAUUUUAUAAUAUUUUUCAUUCCAUUUCAUUUUCUCAUCAGUUCUCUUAACAAAAAUCAAAAUUGAAUAAUCACACAUUUAAAAAAAAAAAUCAAAAUAUUUUUUCAAAUGACCUUAAAAUGUAGUACGUAUUAUUGGGUACCAUAACUCAUUUUCAAGAGUUUGAAUAUCAUGCAUCCCCUCAGCCAAAUAAUAAUAAAUAAAAAGAGUUUGAAUGUAAUGCAUUUUCAAGACUUGAUUCAGAAAAAAAUAAUAGAAUAAUAAAUGACCAUAUUAUAUAAUUGCUAAAAUGCAUACGUAAAGUAGACAAAUAACCCAAAUUAUAUGGAUGUCAAGAUCAACCAAGUUUAUACGCUACUACAACUACCACUCACAUUUCAUUAUUUAAUCUUCUCUCUUUAACUUCGCCUUCACUCAUCCUUCUUCAAUCAUGGACCGUUCUAAAAUAUCCACACUCCUCUUUCUCAUCGUCGCUUUGACCUUCCUCGCCGCCGUCUCCGCUGUCCGUGACCUUCCCGGAGAUUAUCUCCGAUUGCCUUCGGAUGCCUCACGUUUCUUCCAUGAACCUGAAAAUGAUGACAACGUUCAGGGGACUAGGUGGGCCAUUUUACUUGCUGGUUCUAACGGUUACUGGAAUUAUAGACAUCAGGUACACAUAAUUAAAUUCUCUUAGUUUAUUCAUAUAACUUGCUCUUAUAUUUAAGAUCGGAGGGAGUAUUACUUUUAUUUUUAAAUAAAUAAAAAAUCCAAUGAGGUGUGGGGACUUAGAUUUGAGCAAGUCUUGUAAUUACUUUCUUACAGUAUGAGUUACUCAAUUUCAAUUUAGUUUCUUGUAUCGCUUAUUUUCAACUUGGUUAUUACUUCUUACACCUCACUCUUAUGACACUCCAAGUGAGAUUAAUCAAAUUAUUUUGGGCCGUUUACAAUUACAAGUAAUCUAUGAUAAUAUGAUCCGAACAAUUCUAAUAAAGGAAAUUAACAUUAUCACUUUUAUUUUUUGGCAAGUGCAUUAAUUUUCUGUAGAUCCGUGCACUCCAUAUAAAAUAAUUGAAAAGUGAUCAUUAAAUUAAAACAAAAAUAAUUUUUGAAAAAGAUAAGUAACUGAAUAUAUAUAUAUAUAUAUAAAUAAAUAAUAUUUAUAUGUAAUUUUAUUAUGAGCUAGUUCAACAACGUAAUAUUACAAAAAUUGAAAUUCAAUUGAUUAAUUAUUUCUCUGUAAGGUAUUAGUUAUAAAAUUAUUUAAUUAAUGUUAGUGUUUUAUUUGUUAGUUUAUCUACUUCCAAAUAGAGUGAUAACUGUUAGAUAAUAUUAUUAUAUAUUAGUAGUAAGGGUAUUUUAGACAAUUCUAGGCAAUUCUAUUUUCUUAUAUAUAUACUCAGUGUAACCCUAUUAACUUCAGUUUUGGUUUAUUAUAUGAUAUGAAACCCUAGACUGGUUGUUUCUCUUCUUCCUCUUUCUUCCUCUUUUCAUUGUUAACAUGGUAUCUAGAGCCUAUUUCGAUCCUCAUUGAACGAUCCCGCCUCCAUUCCGCUGUCGAGUUCCCAACAAUUAGGGAAUAUAAUUAUAGUUUAUCUUUUCUAACAUUCCAAUAUUCAGUGAGAUUUUCCGUGUCCCAAUUCUGCUUUACCCUUUCUUGGUAGCUUUUCGUUUAUUUUUAGUAGGGUUCUAUAAACCUUUCCACAAGCCAUUAGGGUUUGACGCUCUAAAGCUAAAAAGAACAAUGGGUGGUAAAGUUUACUUUGAGAAUCAUUAUUAUUUGCAUGGUUAUUGGGGGAUUUUGAUUGAUCGUUAUGAAGAGAUGAUUGAGAAUUAUCAUCCUGGGAUCUACCGUAGAGAAGAGAGAGAAACUAUUUUGAUAGAAAAGACAACCACCAAAAAAGAAAAGAGAAGAGUAACCUUGUUCCCGAUUUUGUUAAAUCAGUCUCACAAAAACAUCGAUUGCGCAUUCGUUAACCGUUGGAUUUGGCUGAUUUUUGGACAGAAGGUUCACAACAUUCAGGUCUUCGUCUUCAACGGUCGGAUUGGUAAAACGACGUCUGUAGGGGGAGAAAUCGUGCUCGCACAGCACCAGGUUAUCCCUAAUUUAUUUUGUUUCAGUGAUUGUGUUUGUCUCAUUAUUUGUAUGGCUUUGAGAGAAGGUUUGGAGGUUCAUUAUGUUGUUUUGAAAAAUGGGUUUUGUGUUAAUUUGUAUGUUGGGACUUCUUUUGUUGAAAUGUUUGUGAGAAGUUUGGUUUCUUGGACUGUUGUUAUUGUUGGGUUUGCUAGGUGUGGGGAUAUGAGUGAGGCCAGGAAGCUUUUUGAUGUUAUGCCUGAUAGAGAUAUUGUUGCUUCUAAUGUUAUGAUUGAUGGGUAUGUGAAAAUGGGGUGUAUGGAUUUGGCGAGGGAUUUGUUUGAUAAGAUGAAGGAUAAGAAUGUUAUUUCUUGGACUAGUAUGGUUCAUGGUUAUUGUGAGGAUGAUGAUGUUGUGGCGGCUAGGUUUAUGUUUGAUUGUAUGCCUGUCAAGAAUGUGCUUAGUUGGAAUGCGAUGAUUAGGGGAUAUUGUGAGAAUAGACGACCACACGAUGCGUUGAAGUUGUUUUGGAAAAUGAGGGGACGUUUGGAUGUGGAAAUGAAUAAAGUGACGGUUGUGAGUGAAAUUGCUUUUUGAGGAGAUGAAUGAAAAAGAUACAUCGUCGUGGAAUGCUUUGAUAAAUGGUUAUGGUGUCAAUGGUUGUGCGAAGGAAGCGUUAGAAGUAUUCGCAGCAAUGUUACGGGAAGGAUUUGAACCGAAUGAGAUAACAAUGACUAGUGUGUUAUCUGCUUACCAUUGUGGUUUGGUAGAGGAAGGAAGAAGAUGCUUCAAAGAAAUUGAGAGAUUUGGAAUUGUGCCUCAGAUUGAGCAUUAUGGUUGUAUGAUUGACCUUCUAGGAAGGGUUGGAUACUUGGAUGAGGCUGAAAAUUUGAUCUUCUGUGUUGUCGCUCUGUUUGUUGCUUCUUCUGUUUGAUUGCUAAUCUCUCUAGUGAUUUGCUUUGUUGCUUCUCUCUUUGUUUAGUUUGGUUUGAUAUGAUUUAGUUUUGUUUGGUUCUAUUUGGUUUGGUUUGUUUGGAUUUGGUUUCGUGGUGCUACUUCUUUGGUUGUUCCUAUCAGUUGAUUUUGAUAUGGUUGUUGCUCCUUUUUUGAUCGCUUCUUUUUCGGUUUGAUUUUUUUGUUGGCUUGGUUCUUCUCUUUGAUUGUUGCUUCUUCUUUGGUGACAUCCCUCUUGUCCCCCCGGCUGUCCAACCACCUCCUGCGAUUGUUGAUCCUCCUCGUUACCCCUCUCGUCAUCAUCUUCAGCAUAGAAUCAUUAUUCUACUGUUUGUCUCUUCUUCUUUACAGAUUGCUGAUUUGUUCACAAAGAUGCAUUCCAUUAAACGUUUUCGUUUUUUUUAGUUGACAAACUCUCGAUGCUCCAUGUUAAUGCAUCGUGAGUUUGAGGGGAGAUGUUAGAUAAUAUUAUUAUAUAUUAGUAGUAAGGGUAUUUUAGACAAUUCUAGGCAAUUCUAUUUUCUUAUAUAUAUACUCAGUGUAACCCUAUUAACUUCAGUUUUGGUUUAUUAUAUGAUAUGAAACCCUAGACUGGUUGUUUUCUCUUCUUCCUCUUUCUUCCUCUUUUCAUAAAAUAAUUGAAAAGUGAUCAUUAAAUUAAAACAAAAAUAUUUUUUUAAAAAGAUAAGUAACUGAAUAUAUAUAUAUAUAUAUAAAUAGAUAAUAUUUAUAUGUAAUUUUAUUAUGAGCUAGUUCAACAACGUAAUAUUACAAAAAUUGAAAUUCAAUUGAUUAAUUAUUUCUCUGUAAGGUAUUAGUUAUAAAAUUAUUUAAUUAAUGUUAGUGUUUUAUUUGUUAGUUUAUCUACUUCCAAAUAGAGUGAUAACUUAUAUAAAGUCAACGGAAAUUGUUUUGGUUACUGUAUAUCAGUGAGAAUCAAAAUGCAAAUAGUUGAAUGUAUGUGGACUAAAUUGACAAAAAAUUCAAUGUAUAGCCAAGGGACUAAAUGGAAAUUAUUUAUACUUAAACAAUAUUGAGAAUGAGUGUUACAUAUGAUCAAUAGCAUAUUUUAGCCUUUGUAUUUAGCUGUUUAGUUUUAGUGUUGAUUCUUUGUUGUUUCAUCAGGCUGAUGUUUGUCAUGCGUAUCAAAUACUAAGGAAAGGUGGCUUGAAAGAAGAAAACAUUAUUGUUUUCAUGUAUGAUGACAUUGCUUUUGAUAUAGAGAAUCCAAGGCCUGGGGUCAUAAUUAACAAACCAGAUGGAGGUGAUGUUUAUGCAGGAGUUCCAAAGGUAAAGUCAUGUUCAGUUUUUUGGCAUCCAGCAUCUUGUGUAAAUAGUAAUUUUGGUUCUUAAAUGUGUGAGACAUUGUCACUUACGGAUGUUUUUUGUAUUUCGAUACAUUCAAGAACUAUGUGAAAAUGCCUCACACAUUAAGGACCAAAAUGACAGUUUACUCAUAUCUUUUUGCUAUAUCAUGUUCGAUAGUUGUCUAAUCUAAUAUGAACUACCUCUUAAAAAAACAAACUAAUAUGGACUAUUUUUUUAUGGCAGGAUUACACUGGUGAUGAUGUUAAUGUUGACAACUUUUAUGCUGCUUUACUUGGAAAUAAAUCAGCUCUUACUGGUGGGAGUGGGAAGGUUGUUGAUAGUGGUCCCAAUGAUCAUAUAUUUGUAUAUUAUACUGAUCAUGGAGGUCCUGGGGUUCUUGGUGAGUAGCUAUGAAUUCUUCUCAUAGAAACUUUUUGUUUUUGAUGAUAUACAUGGAUAGAGAGGUUGUUUGUAUGUGUUUUAGAUUUUUUUUCUAAUUCAGAAGGGGGAAUUUUUGUAAAUUAAUGUGGCACAAAUUACUUUUUAACGAUUGUCUGUGAGAAGAUUUCAACUCUAUCCCUUGACAUGUCUAUUGUUGUUGUUUGGUUGAUCGUGUGAUCAUUUUUUUAAUUAUGUUUGAGUCGAAUUAAACUUCUCAGGUACGAUGAUUUGCUCGAAGUGGAGUUUGUGUUUUGCGCACAAUAAACUGAAAUUUUCAAACAGUUAGAAUGAAAUAUUUCAAAAUUGCAUUGGUUGGAAUUUUUUAUCAAUAAGAUAGUCUUGAAUGCUUAACUUGUUGUUUGUUUCCUUUUUUGUGCUGCUGUAUUUCCAAAAGGAUAACGGGGUUAAUCUGAAACUAGGUAUUCUACAGCAUAGCUAUGUCAUGUUUGUGGACUAAUCAUUGAACAUGUUAGUUUUUUGCUAGAUAUUGUUUUUUGGUCACGUGAUGUAGUUGAUUGAAUGAUCUUUCUUCUAUUUACAUUUUUCUUGGAUCAUUGCAUGACAACGUGUUUAUUUCUACAAAUGAUAUGUGCACCUUUCUAUUACUUAUUUGGUCGUUUUUUUCGACAUGGGAGUGAAUUUCAGGGAUGCCCGUUGGUCCUUACUUGUAUGCAUCUGAUCUGAAUGAAGUCUUGAAGAAAAAGCAUGCUUCUGGAUCAUAUAAGAGCCUAGUAAGUCACUACUACUUCUGAUUUUGUUGUUCUUUUUGUUUCAAUCCCUUUUGAACUGUCUAGUACUUGAAUGCUUGGGUUUGAUUAUUUCUAACUAUUUUUUUUUUCAAAAGAUCUCACAAACUAUGUAGCACCGACACAUUAGAUUAAAGACAUGUCAGGCGUUCGAGAUGUGUUAGUGUCCGACACCAACACAUAUGGUUAAAUUCAACCACUUCCAUUUUCUUAAAUUAUAACUAGUGUCUACAUGUCAAUGUUGUAUUUAGUAUCCGUGUAUGUGUCUGUGAUUCAUAUAGCUCACAAAGCUAUAGGUUGAAAAACUAGAAUCCAAACUAACACAAAUUUUAUUUAUGGUGGUGCAGGUAUUUUAUCUGGAGGCAUGUGAAUCCGGGAGUAUCUUUGAAGGUCUUCUUCCAGAAAAUAUCAAUAUCUACGCGACAACAGCUUCAAAUGCAGAUGAAAGCAGUUGGGGAACAUAUUGCCCUGGGGAGUACCCUCCCCCUCCCCCAGAGUACUCAACCUGCUUGGGUGAUCUGUAUAGUGUUGCUUGGAUGGAAGAUAGGUAUAUAUGUGCAUAAGAAGGAAACCAAGAUCAUAAAUAAGAUUAAUUUGAUGCAUUAUUUGUUAUUAACUAUGUAUAUUCCUGUUGUUUGAACUUUGAAAGUUGAAAUACUUGCCCCUUUUAGUAUUAUUAGCUCAGACGAUUUUUUUAAUAAUUUUUUUUUUCCACUUCUGAGCAGUGACAUUCACAAUCUGCGAACUGAAAGUUUGCACCAACAAUAUAAAGUGGUAAGUUCCUAUUGCUAACUUGAUUUGAUAUUUUUUAAAUGACAAAUAUUAGCUAUUAGUUGUUAUUUUGCUAGCGAGAUUGAGUUGAACUCGUUAUUUCCUUAUCCCUCAAAUCAAAUGAUUUGAUUUGAUUUUUUUAAAUCAAUUGAUUGAUAUGGAUUGAAGAAUGUAGUUCAAUGUCUUGAUUGCUUAAUUUACAUAUGAGAAACUUUAGUUUUUUUUUUUUAUUGAAUUCUUAGUCUAAGUUCAUGUUUCAAACACGGGUAGAAAAUGUAUUAGGAGUUGUGUAAUUGAUGUCUUAUUUUUCCAUUACAGGUUAAGGAUAGGACUAUUAAUGGAGUAUACUAUGGUUCUCAUGUGAUGGAGUAUGGUGAUGUAGGGCUUAGCAACAAUCAUCUCUUCAUAUAUUUGGGCACAAAUCCUGCUAAUGAUAAUAUUAGUUUUGUGGAUGAAAGCUCUUUGACCUUAAGAUCACCUUCAGCAGCAGUCAACCAAAGGGAUGCUGAUCUCAUCCAUUUCUGGGAUAAGGUAUGCUUUACAUGUAGUAAUUUUUAUUCUUAAUGUUCUGAAUUAAGUGAUUUAUUUAUCAUGUCCUCAUCAUGAAUUUACUUUUAAAAUUAAUAUUGUUGGGAUGUAUGAUAAACAUAAGGAGAAUCUCAUGGCUAAAAAUUAUUGCAAGAUUGGAGGAUAAAUUCAGUGACAACUGUUGUGGAUAUGUGAUAAUGGGAACAUACCAUAUAGUUUGCUCAAAAUUCAUAAAUCAUAGUCCUGAAUAUUCAGUUGAAGAGUUGAUGUGGAUAGCAUAACCAGAUAGUAUGAGUAGAAUAUGGACUAGUUAGAUAUGUCAUAUGGAGAGAACAAACUUUGGAUAGUUUUGAACUAUGAAGCACUGACACAUACUAAAUAUAACAUUAACACUGACACCUAAAUUAGUAAUAAUUUGAGAAAAUAGAAGUGAUUGAAUGUAACCAAAUGUGUCGGUGUUGUGUUAGUUUCCUACGUGUGUCAAAAACUGAACAUGCUUUCAAUUUAAGUGUCUGCGCUACAUAUUAAAGUUUGUUUGUUAUAUUUAUCUUGACUUCAUUUUUGUUGUUCAUUGUCAGUUCCGCAAAGCUCCUGAGGGUUCUGCCAGGAAAAAUGAAGCUGAGAAACAAGUUUUGGAAGCAAUGUCUCACAGGAAGCAUGUUGACAACAGUGUGGAACUGAUUGGGAAGCUCUUAUUUGGCAUUGAAAAGGGUCCUGAAUUGUUCAACACUGUUAGACCUGCUGGAUUACCACUUGUUGAUAACUGGGACUGCCUCAAAACUAUGGUACUAUUUCCCAUGAUUCAGAUUCAUCUUUUGUGGUUUUGACAUAGUAAAUAUAUAUUUCUUCAUAAGAAUAUAAUAGAAUUGGAUUCAUUGUUUUCUGCUUAAGCCUUGGUGCAAUGAUAAAAUUGUGAUAUGUGAUGGAUUCUAAUUGCAUAAAUAUUCCAGUCCACAUAUAACAGAAUUAGAUUAUGGCCUAGUUGGAUAUGCUCUCCAUAAUAGCUUACAAAAACACCUUAUAGUUUAUAUGAGAAUAGUUUAACUUUAUCUUUUGUUAUAAAAUUAGUUUAUACAUAACCACUUGUAUGAUAAGCACAAACAUUGUUGAACUUUAAAAAGUGAAUUUGCAUUAUUUUGUUGAUUGUAGUAAAACAUUUUCUUUUGUUCACCUUGGUCUCUGAGAUUUUUUUUUAUACCUUAAUCCGUUUUUUUAUUCAGGUAAGGACUUUUGAGACACAUUGUGGAUCCCUGUCUCAGUAUGGGAUGAAACAUAUGAGAUCCUUCGCAAACAUCUGCAAUGCGGGAAUACAGAAUGAGCAAAUGGCUGAGGCCUCAGCACAAGCUUGUUCCAACAUUCCUGCCAAUCCCUGGAGUUCUCUGCAUAGGGGUUUCAGUGCAUAGUUCCUAAAAUGUGCACUUUGUAAAUACCAACUACAAUUUCUGUUACAUUAUGUUUUAUGGUUGUAUGUAUAUACAUACCGUGCACUGGCCAUGAUCUCAUGUCAUGAUUCUGUAAAUACAACUGGGAAAUUAUUAGGACAUUGGAGUGUAGUGUUUAUCUCUGAGAAAUGAAGGAUUUCAUUACUAUGGUUUUGGAUAUAAUGAGGCACGCAUAUUUAGUGCUGGUUUAUUAAGCCUUUGUUCAUCCAAAAUCAUAGUAAUUGAGCACUCGAUUUCUUGUAAUAAAUGGAGAUGAUCUUUACAACAAUGUUAUGUCUAUGUUUUUAUUCCAUUUAUGUUGUUGUGUUAUUGCAAGAAAAACAAUUUCAAGGGAUGAUGGCUUUUAUAACAGAAGGAGGGAUAGAAGACCAACAGUUAUGCCUGUUUUGGAAAGUUCAAUAUGACAGGGAACAAGGUCAUGCAUGUUUGCCAACGUGUAUGUGGGAAAUGGCAGAUAUAGGAGUUACCCUUGACACUUUGCAACAUAAUUGACAACCAUUUGUAGAAUUAUUUUAGUUGAAUGUUAUUUUCAUACAACUAUUGUUUAAUAUUACUGUUUAAUGAUAAUGAUGGUAUUGUAUAUGUAUUUGGAAUUUCGUUAAACUAUAUUGUAAGUCUUUUUAGUUUGAUUGAAUUUUUAACUUAAAUUUUCUUAGUUUAAUUUCCUUUAAUAGAGUUCUUAUAUUAUUAUUUUUUAAUUGUUAAACAGGUCAAUAUUGUAAAAUUUGUGGUCCUAUCUAAUAAAGUUAAAAUGAAUACUUCACAACAUCAUUACUCUACCAUGCCCAAGGCAAUUCAAAAAUAAUUGGUGGAGGUGAGAAAUAGGGUAACCAAGAAAGAAGAAGAACAUUGUUUGUGAGUAAUGAGGAAUUCAAUCUCGGUCCUAAAAUGUAAAAAUUCGGUGAAGAUUAACUUACUUAACUUUUUAAAGCAAGAGUGCUUGUUUGAGAAAACUUGAAUUCAUCAUAUUUGUAUUUUUUUUUAUACAACAUGUGAAUGCAUAAUAAUUUUGUGUUUGAAAAAAUUGCCUAAAGUUUGUCAUGUAUUGGAUGGUAAUGUUUUGACUUAUGAAAUGAAAAACUAACCAGUGUCAGGUUAACUAAUCUAAUCUCACUUAAGAGACACUUAAUAUGCACAAGCAGAAAUGGAGAACUAUUACACAAUUGGCCUUUCUUUUUCAUCCACAUUUCAGUAUCAUCACCUUCACCAUCAUCCUCAUGUUGUCUUGCUAUACCCUUCACCCGCUUUAUGAAACUCACUCCAACCUCCCUUAUGCAGCCAACAGAUAUUUCACUUCGCACCACAUUCAUAUGUCCAAUCUUAAAGCCAAUUGAUUAGACAUCUUUUUCACGAAAUAACAAACUUUUGCCACCCUUAACAUGACUUUAAAUGUACACAACAACAUGCUAACAAUUGUCUUAAUAGCAUUACUUAAGGAAGCCAAAAUUAAAAGUUUACAUUGAAAAAAUAAUUUAAAAAUGGAAUUAACUAUUUUUCAACAAUAUUUCUAUAUUCUUUUUCUUAAUCAAUGUUAUUGUGAAAUACUUUUAAUAGAAAUUUAAUUUAUAUACACCGUAAAUAUUUUUUAUAUUGUCAAUCAAUCAUAACCUUUAAAUUAUUUAUAAUUAGUAAUCAUAAUUUAUCGACUGUUUAAAACUUUUUAUGGUUUAUCCGUACAUAAAAAUUAAACUCUUUUAACAAUGUAUAUACUUUUUUAUUAUAAAAAUAAAACAUACAUUUCAAAAUAAUUUACGGUGCCAAAAUUACACUUCAAAAAAAUAAAAGAGAUGACUCUUUUAUUUUUCACCUACUACCGCGAUAACCUACUUGAUCCACACAUUGUGCAUAGGUACACAAAGCCCACUUUAUGUAACCUAAAACACAUCCCUAACUCAUAACCCAUUCAACAAAUUGCUAUACCCCAUCAUUUCUGAUCGCUAGAAGGGUUUGCUAAUAUCAAAACUUUUAAAAAAUAAAAUAUAAUUAAUAUGAAGGAUCUGACGGCUCUCCAGAUUCCUUUUAGAAUAAACCAACGGAUAAAAGGCUCUCAAAACGACGUAAUGUUUCCAUGGAUGGUUUUAAGUAAGGAUAAACAAGAGCCGCCAGAUAUGAAAUCAACGGUCACCAUUUUUCAGUGUGUGGCACAUGAUGUAUAAAAACAGGGCUCUACAUAGAAAAACAGAGCAUUUCAUUUUAUCAUAAGAAACAAAGAGAAAAAAAAAAAAACCUCCUUCCACCCUUCUUCAAAAAUAUUUAUCUAUUUCCUUUCAUCAUUCUGUCUACAAAACCAAACAGCAUAAUUUAAGAUCUUAAUAUUGAUUACUGAACGGUUAAACCUAAGGAUCUGCUAAUUUAUUUAAUUUAAAUAUAUUAAGGUUUCUAAUUAAACAACGCUUCAAUUUCUAAUCCAUUUCUUUAUAUUUUUUUAACGAGAACCGCUAAUUUCGUUUUGUUUUUGGCUUAAUUUCUGUGUUUGCAGGUAUUCAUUGUUAAUUUUCUAAGUGAAUUCUGUUCUGAAGACUGCAUUCGUUCGUUCAUUGUUGUAGUUUUAAGGUGCUUUGAAUAUUUGUAGUUUCAAAGCUUUGGCUUCUGCUUCCUUCUAUUCUCUGUUGGGCUUCGCUGCUAAAUUUCUCCAGUUUUUUUUAUAUGCAGAUACAGAGUUUUCUGCAAAAAUUGGAUAUUGUGGAUUCUCUGAGGAAAAGUGUGUAGAUCGAAGGUUUGGAAUGUCAUUGUUAGUUGGAUUUUAGGUAUGGAUUUGUGUUUCACUAUUUCUGGAAAAAAAAUCUUGAGGCGACGGUUUUGAUAUAAUCGGAUUAAUUUAGAAAGUAUAAUUGGAAGUGAUGAGUUGUGAUUCUCAUCGAAAUCAAUCUUUUGACAUUUUUUUCCCUUCAUUUUUAGUGUCUAUAAUCGUUACUUGUGAAGCAGUUCUGGAUUUCUCUCUACAUCUUCAUUUCUUGGAAGGAAAUUGAAAAAUCGACUCAAUUUCUUUUGGUUGGUGAUGUGCCAGAAGAAAUUGAUAAUUAUUCACUAAUUGUAAGUUUUCGUUAAUUAGUACAUUAAUUUCCAUGGUUCAUUGUUUUUUUUUUUUUUUUUAAUUCUCGCCCUUUUCAUCCUUUUCCUUACGAAUAAUUUCGAUGUUCUCACUGUUUUUUUCUUCUUGAAAUUUUAAAUAUAAAUAUUGUAGAUUUAAGUCAACCUCAUAUUACACUUUCGGCUUGAGAAUGCUUUGUGGUUGCAAAUUUUAAUUUUUUUUUUCUUUCUGUUAUUUCUUCUUCUUCUUCUGCCUCGCUUCCUUUUACGUUUAUGAAUCAAAAUCCUUUUCAAUUGGCUCUUGAAUUGGUUUAAGAGCAAAAUCGGUGCUGCAAAUCUUAAUCCUUUUAAUCCUUACAAGUUCUUUUCCAUGUUCAAAGUUGAAUCGAAUCUCUUAUAAUUUGGGUAAAAUAUUUUCAUAAUCUAGUUUCAGGUUAUAUUAUCCCUCAGAAUUUUAAUAUUUUAUUCAUCCAGUUUUUUGUCUUCAUUUCAAAGAUGCUCCAGUUGCACUAUUCCCAUGGCUACCAUUUUUUUUUCUUCUUGAAAACAGUGAACCGUCCGAUGCAACUUGCUUUAUUUUAGUAGUAAUUUAAUAAUUGAUGGUAAUUUGAUAAUUGAUAAUAAUAAUAAUACAAUUAUAUACAGAUAGUAGAUAUUGUGUCAAAAAAAGAUAGAUAGUAGAUAUAUAAUGUGUAUAUGUAUUUUACAGUGCCUAUCAUAAUAUAAUGAUAAUAAUAGAGAGCCAACUAACUCCAAUAGUUUGGUCUAAUGUUCAAAUGACAAAUAUUGAAUUGGUACACCAUACAACUGAUUUCAAAUUUAUUGAAACAUGAAUAUAAUAAUUUAAGUUGUUAGAUAGUCCACUAAUAAUUUUGCCGAAAAAAUAUAUUCCAGUAAUAAGCAUUAGUUUAAUUUUUUUGAUUUAUUGAUGAUAAUGAUGAUGACAUAUGCAGGAGGGGGGUGAUGGAUAAGGGGUCGUCACUUAACAACCAUGGGAAUAGCAACAACAUUGGUAGCGUGAGAGAUGAUGAUAGAGACAAAAAUGGAGGGGAUGGGUCCUUGUUAUUGAGGGCUAGCUCUGAUGGCUUUAGGCAAUCAACCACGUCAGAUUUAGUGUUGCAAUGGGGGAACCGGAAGCGACUAAGGUGUAUGAAGGUUCAGGUUAAACAAGACUCUUUAAACCCGGUUCAGAGAACAACGGUUCGAGUGGAUAGAAGAGUAGUAAGAACCGAGAAAGAUACUUUAAACCGGUUCACAGCAUCCCUCACUGAAAAUAAUAAUAAUAACAACAAUAGUCAUCAUAAUAAUCAAAAUCAAAGUAACGGGUAUCCUAGUCUCCGUCAACGCCCCCCUUCUCCGCAGCAACCUCCUCCAAGGAUUCUCAGGUAUUUGUUACUAUUAGUUUACUUUUCUCCCUAUUUACUUGCUUGAUUGCAUACUUUAGUUACUAUAUUUGUUCAAUUACAAGCAACUUUUAUUUUUAUUUUUAAAAAAUGUGAUUGUGGUGAGUUAUGACAUGAAGGAUUUUGAUAAUUUUUUGCGAUUGUUGUGCGAUUUUGAUUGAGUCUUGACCGAUCUGAGUUUGAAGAAAACAGAACUUCGAUUGCGAUCUUGUAUGUAACAUUAGAUUUUUUAUCGAUGUUUUUCCGACUAUUAUGCAAUUUAGGUUGAGUCGAACAUCAAUUAGGGUUUUAAGAAAAUAUCGGCGAUCGCCGUUUGAGUCGAGCUAUCAAUUUUUUUCAUGUUUCAGAUACUAAAGAUCCAUUGUGAUUAAAUUGCAUUUAAGUACAAUUGAACAUAAUAUCAAAAAUCGUGGUGGACGACGAAUUUAAUCCUCCAAUGUAACAUCUUAAGAUAAUUGUAAAUAAGUAAAAUAGAAAUUAACAUGAUUAAACAAGAGUGAGAUGUUGUGCUGGGGUGCUUUACUUUGAAUUUAGAUUUGUUGUGGUAUAUUAAAUCAGAUUUGAUAAGUCAUAUGAUUUAGAUUAUUAGAUCAAGAUCGGAGUGCUCGGUAUGAUUGAAAAUCUUUAGACGUGUUUUGUCAUCUUAUAAAUUCAUAUAAGUGAUUUUAUGAAUACAUUCAAAUCUUUUUUUGUUAGGAAAGUCUCGAUGGUUGGAUAAUUUUAAGAUUUUGGAUAAUUUUAAGGUUGGCCUUUUAAGAUUUUGGAUAAUUUUAAGAUUUCAGGCCAACGGUAAAGAUCAAAUGUUAUUUUCAGAAAUAAAAUAAAAAACUUAAAUAAACAAAUUAUAUUUCUUAUAGGUUUAUGAGUUGAAAUAGUUAAAAGAUUUAUGUUUUAUUCUAUCAUAAAAUAUCUUGAAUAAUAGAGUGUGUGUUUGAUUCUACUACUCUGUGCAUCGUUCCAUUGUAUUCUACUCCACAAAAAAUAAGAGAACAUUUAAAUUCAAAAAUAUACAGGCUUAUUUUAAUUUUAAAAAGUUUGAUGCUGGGUUUUUUUCAAUGAAUAAUUUAGAAAAACAUUAUUUUAUUUCCAUUCAACCCAUGAAUAAAUGGCAUUAGAUUUAGUCAAACAUCUCCGAUAAGCGUGUAAAAACUAAAUUCUAGCUAUGAUUUGUAUGGAAGUGUUGGAUACAUCGCUUCCACGAAUUAUGUGAAGGAUCAUGAUGCAAAUAAAAUAAAUUGAAUCUUCAGCUUCAAAUGUGACUCUGACUAUAUAAAUAAAUUAGGCUUUGAUUGGUGGCUACCCAAUUGGAUUAUCUUGUCUAUAUUUAAGUGGAUUGACAAUGUUUUGCUUCAUUUGGGCUGAAUAGUGAGUAAUACACUUAUAAUGACAAUAUGAGGCUUAUGUUUUGUCCACUCACACCAAUUGGUAGGUCCUCGCGGACGUCUCAUCCAAAUUAAACGAGGAGCUCACGGUGAGUGCGUGAGAUUCCCAUCUUUUCUUUCUUCAAAAUUACUUUAUUUUGAAGAUAUUGUUAUUAUGACUAAGCUACUACUAACGGGAAUUUUUAUAUUUCAUAGUUGAUUGAUAUUGUAUUUUCAUAUCUUCCAGUAGUAUUUUUUGUGUCUGCUAAUUAAACGUGUAUUGAACUCUUUCUAUCGGUACUUUAUGGUGCGGAGAUAAUUAAUUUAUUGCUAUUAUCUUACCAUUUUGCUUAUGCCUUGACAUUCAUUAUGAUUGAUAUUCGUGUGAUACACUACUUAAUAAGAUAUGUUGUAUAAUGAUCAUUGAAUUGAGGUUCCCUGUAAAUCCUUGGGGUAUUUUAAUGAUCCGUGUUCAUAACUACCUUGCACCUUGUGGAUCUAGAUCUGAAACACCGUAAAGUAUCAGAGCAACCCCUCAUUUUAUUUAUCAUAAAAAUGUCAUGACGAGGGUUAAUAACGACUUUGUUUGUUCAAAAAAAUAAUACCAGACUUUGUCGGGAUAUGAAACAGAGGGUCUUUGUUCCACGUGUUAAUCUUAAACCAUUUUGUAUAAGAAAAGUCCUUUAUCGCCGUUGGAUGAGAUACCAGGUGUUAGAUCUGGUACGUCCUAUUCAUCAUUUCAACACGUAAUAAUAAAGUAAACUUCAUCUUCUCUUCAAUAGCCCCAUCCAAUCCAACGGCCCUAAACCUGUCGUGGAACCAGCUGUGUCCGUUAUGAAUCACCUUCACCCACUUCACAUACCUCUCUCUCUCUGUCUCUCAAAUAUAUCCCUCUCUACCUAAACCUUUUUCAUCUAAAGUAAAAAUAAAGUUAAAAGACACACACCAAACUGACCAAAGAAGCCAAAAAUCAUCUUAUAAUCUACCACAAAACCUGUUGAUGUUUCAGCCUCUCCAACGCAACUAUUUAAUUUCAGAUUGACCUCCAAGGUCAAUAUCGUAAAUCCACCUCUCCUAAAAUCAUUAUUUUUAUUUAUUUAUUUAUUUAUUCAAAGAAACAAAUAUUCUGAAAUGCUUAUUUGUUUUCCAUAUUUAUCAUAUAAUGUUUAAUGUUCCUAGGUUAAGAAACAAUUGGAAUAAAUAAUGAAAUUUGUUGUGUUUAAUUAAUUUUGUGUGUUGUAUUUGAUGUUUAGGAACACAGAGAGUUCAGGUGCGAUGAGAGGAACCCAAAUCAACGGGAGUGUAAGGGGAAUUGCCUCACCAGAGAGGGGUGCGCACGAUAAAAGAGGGACCCACCUUAAUGACAAUAAUAACAACAAGUACGCCGCGUCGUCCGAUAACGCUAUUGAUGGCAAGAAAGGUGGGUCGUCUUCAGGAAGUGGGGAUGCGACUCCGGCGGUGUGGCCACCAAAAUUUGUGAUUGCCUUGACCAACAAGGAGAAGGAAGAAGAUUUCAUGGCCAUUAAGGGCUCUAAGCUUCCUCAGAGACCUAAGAAGAGAGCCAAAUUGAUACAACGCACCCUCAAUGUAAGCUCCACUUUCCUUAAUUGUUUGCUUUAUGUUCUCCGUAUUAAUUAAUUUCUUUAUUUAGAAUAAAUCAUUCCUUUCUUUUCUAAAAUAUAUCAAAUCAUUCUACUCCUAACAUUUUAACCAUACAGACUAAAUUCAUUUUCUUUAGGAAGGUUUUUUACAUGCAGUAAUAUCUCUCAAUUAUUAGAUUGGAAAAUGUGAUGCAUUAGAAAAAUGUGAUGAAAUAAUUAUUAACGGUGUUCAUCACAUGAUCUCAGUUUAGAAAUUGAAUUAAACGCUUUUGUUUACCAAACAAGGAUGGUAUAAUUUUCUGUAAAAUUUGUGUGACUUAGCACAUAAUAUUAGUAAGGUUUUAGAGCUUUAGUUAUAAAUAUUUUUUAUGUUGGUAAAUAAUCUAAUGGCGUUGCACUAUGGUCAUAUGGGACUUUUUUAGGCUAUAUAGAAUUUUCAUUGUAUUAAAGUUGGUGGUUAUCUUCAGUCUUGUCGUAUAGCUCUCAUAAUUGAAUUUAAAUAAAAAUAUUUUAAGUGGGCGUCCUCUUUUCUUUUUUCUUUGCACCCUAUAUGCCUGGAAAAGCCAUAAAUAGAGGGUUGGCGUACUGGUAUACACGCGUCAACGGGACCAUGGUUAACACCGAAUACCAGAGUCUCCAAAGUAUUUUCUAUACUACUCUAGAAAUUCUACUUUUUUGUUUUUACAAAACUAAAUACCGAAUAUUAUUUUUUAGCUUAAUAAAUUAGAUAUAUAUUUCAUAAUUUAACUUCAUUUAUAUAUACUUUCGGUGUGUACAGAAUUUUUACAACUCAGCUAAACUAUAUUUUAUUCUUUUUUGUCUCAAACAUAAUGUUAUUUUUAUAUAUAUAUAUAUAGAAAAAAUUGUAUUCUUUUUUAACAUUAAAUUGAUUUUUCUUAGACAAUUCUAAUAUUGAUUUUUUUAUAAUUAUUCUUGUACGAAUUUUUCAAAUCUAAUAUUUAUGUGUACUGUUGUAUAUAACAUGUUCAUUUUGCACCGUGUUGCAGCUCGUAAGUCCAGGCACAUGGCUAUCCGAUCUUACCUUGGAACGAUAUGAAGUUAGGGAGAAGAAAAUAACCAAAAAGGUAAUUAAUUUUUUAUUUAUAAAAUGCUAGAACCAAAAAGGUAAAUAUAUAAUGAACAAAUGGAGAACAAAAAUAGACAAGGCCUUACAUGCUUCUUUGCAAUAUUAUGUUGUUAAGUAGUAGUUCUAACAACACAUUUUUUCACCAUCAUUUUUAACUUAAACUUUUGUAUUAGAUUGAAAUAUAUUUUAUUAAAUUAAGUAGGUUUCAUAUGAAAUUGGUUAGAUCUAUAUGAAAUCCAGUCAAUAAAAAAAAAAUUGAUUAGAUUUUUCUAUUCUAUUUCACUUUUCAUAUUGUUUUAUAUAUAAUGACUUUUCAUAUUAUUUUUCUAUUCUUUUGCUUCUUUUGCACGUCAAUAAAGAAACUUAAUUAGGAAUUUUAUGCAGAGACCAAGAGGCUUAAAAGCAAUGGGUAACAUGGAGUCGGACUCUGAAUAGAAGAAGCAAGGCAAUGAGAAAAAGGUAUAAUAGCAAUGGAGUAGAACCAAAAAAAACUCUUGCUUUAUGCUGGCUAAGGAUGUGAGAAAUGUUGGGUUAGUGUAAAGCAUGGCAUAGCGUGCAAGCAAAAUUGAAUAUAAAUUACUUGGUUUUGAUCCUGUUUUUCUCACCGCCAUGUUCAUUUUUGUUCUCGAAAAUGUCUCUCCAUAAUUGUGAAGUAUAUCGGAUCACCUAUUUUUAGCUAUAGGAUGAUGGAUGAAGCAUGGAUGCUGGAUUUACAUCUCAAUAAAAAAUUAUUAUAAAUUUUAGUUAAAAAUUGAGUCAUCCUUGUCCAAAACUAGAAGGUUUCUGCGCGCAUAAAAAUAAAAUAAGAAAAAGUGCUUCCUUUUCCUUAGAAAAAUGAAAGAUUAUUCUCGGGAACUUUUUCUUAAAAGAAAAAUAGAUUAAUUAAAGAGAUUAUUUAUAAAAUGUUUUUGAUAAAAUAAAAAAUAGUAUUGAUUAUAAAUACACAAGGCAAUGGGGUAGGUGUAGUUUUUCAUUAGAUGUGUGGUGGAGUUUGUGUUUUAGAAGUCGUCUUAAUUAUAAUUAAUAUAAUUAAAUAAUAUUACUAACAUGACAAAUUCAAAUGUAGGUGUGAAUGAUAUAAUACUUUUAAAACUAUCUGUCUCAAAAACGUGCAUCAAUUUAAAGCAGAUUUUUCUCUAUAAAUAAUAAGAUGGUAUUUUUCUCUUAAAUUAUAUGUUUUUAUAAAAUAAUAUUUUUUCAAAAUAUAAAAGUUUAUAAAUAAUUUUUUAAUUUAUAAAAAAUGUAUUUAAUUUAUUAAACUAUUUUUAAUUUGUAAAAAUUAUUAUAGUUUCAUUUUUUAAUUUAUAAAAAUGUAUUUAAUUUAUUAAACUAUAAUAGUUUUUCUUUGUUUUGCUUUGUAAUUCCGCUUUACACGGAAGUUCCUCACCAGUGGACAUUUCAUUUGACCCUUACAUCGGAUAAUGUUGCCUGUCACAUUCUAUUGUUUUAAAAUUGGUUAAAACAAUUUUAUUAAUUUUUUAAAUUAAAAACCAAUUAAAAGUAUUAUUAAUUUCUGAAAUUGAUAUGGGCUUCAUGAACCCAAAAUCCAUCAUUGCUGGUUAUCUUCACUGCUCACCAGAUUUUGUCAUUGUUCAUCAUCGUUACCUUCCUAUCGUUCAAAUAAACUCAUAACACAGGGUGAUAAAGAAACACACAAUUUGAAAUAAUGCGAAUGAUAACAUAAACUAACAAACGCAAAUGUUUACAACCCAAAAAACAAGAAAAACAGAUCCAUCCUUUUCAGGAAGGUUCUAAAUCUAAUACCAUCAUUUCCUUCUGUCUUUUUUAAUUAAAAUGUGUAACACUUAAAAUUUCUAAUUCAAAAGUAAAUUUUUAAUAUUGCAAAUUGAUUUCAAAGUUAAUUAAUAUUGUAGUAUUCAGUGGCAACGUUCGCGUGUGGAGUGGUUGAGUGAAGGAGAUGCAAACACAGUUUUUUCAUGGUGUAGUAUCCAAUAGGAGGCGUUUUAAUUCAAUUUUUCGUAUUGAGGUUGGGGUGUGGAUGUUGAAGGGGUGGAGCUAGUAAAAAGUGAAGAGUUUAAUCAUUUUGAAGGUCAUUUUAAAUCAACCAGAUCCAUCCACAUGAGUUUGGAUAACUUACAAUUUAAUUUUCUCUCGUUAAUGCAAUAUGAAUCGUUGUUAGUUGGAUUUAGUGAAGAGGAAGUCAAACAGGCGGUGGGGGAUUGUGACAGCUACAAAAGUCCAGGUCUGGAUAAUGUAUAUUUUAAGUUUGCAAAAGAGUUUUGAGAGAACAUAAAAAGUGAUUUUAUGAUGUUUUUUGGUGAUUUUCAUGUGAAUGAGAAGUGGGUAAAAUGAUCAAAUUGUUUCUUUAUAGUUUUAAUUUCCAAAAACAAUCAUUCGCAAGUCUUAUUUUAUUUUAGACUCAUUUCGUUAGUGGGGUGUAUGUAUUAAGUUUUGUCAAAAGUGUUGACGAAUAAACUGAGUCAGGUGAUUGGUUCUGUAAUAGUUGAAUCUCAAUCAGCGUUUGUUAAAGACACACAAUUUUUGAGUGGGAUUACCUGGACCUUGUGAUGGAAAAUAUGAGUUUUCCAGAGAAAUGGCGUAAAUGAAUUUUGGAAUGUGUUGAUUCAGCGUCAGUUUCAGUGCUAGUGAACGGGAGUCCUACAUAAAAAAAAAAAUAUGUAGAGGGGAUUGAUAUAGGGUGACCAUUUCAAAGAUUUUGAGGUGGGUUUAAAUGAGUUUUGUGUCUCUCUUUUACAAUUUGUCGUCAAUAUGUUGAUCUUGGGAGAGAAGUGCUGGGAUAAUAUUAGAGUUAUAAAGGCUAAUUUGUUGUGGUUUGGCUUCAAUCUGGUUUUAAGGUUAAUUUUCAUUUAAGUAUGUUACCAGGUGUUAAUGUUAACAGUUCAUGGUUUCAAACUGCAGCAAAGAUGCUUAAUUGUAAGAUGAGAAAUGUUCCAUUCAAAUAUUUGGGGUUGCCUAUUGGUGAUGAUCUCUGAAGUAUUGUUUUUUGAAAGUCUAUUAUUAAGAAGAUCUGAAAUAGGUCGUCAAGGUGGAAGUCUAGAACAUUGUCGUUGGGUGCUUGUUUAGUACUCCUCAAAGUUGUCUUGUCUUCAUUGUCGAUUUAUUUAUUUUUUUUCUUUUUUCAAGGUUCCUUCAAGUAUCAUUUCUCAACUUGAAUAUAUUUUUAAUCAUUUCUAUGGGGUGGGAAUGAGAAAAUGAGUAAGGUUCAUUAGGUUAAUUAGGAGACGUUGUGUUUGCCUUUAGAGAUUGGUGGGUUAGGAGUCUGAGAUUUCAAAAUUUUAAUAAAGCUCUAUUUGAUAAAUAUCGUUGGAGGUUAUAAACAAAGUCAGAAAGCUUCUAAGUUAAGAUAUUGAUCAAUAAAUGUGGAGUGGAAGUUGGGGGAUUUGAGGGAGCAGUUCAAUCGGGUAUGUGUGAUGGAAGGAUAUUUUUGCAAGAAAUGUUGGUAUUGAAGAGGAAUAGUUUGAUAAAAAAAAAUUGUUUAAAAUUAUUGGGAAUAAGAGUAAUACUUUAUUUUGGAAGGAUCGAUGGUUGGAUGGUGAAAUUUUGUGUGAAAAGACUAGUAGGCUAUUUCAUUUGUCUUUGCAACAAGAGGAAAGUGUAGAGGUCGUGUUAGAGUUGUUGCGACUGGAAAGUGCUCAAAGGUAGAUAAGCCAGAGGGAGUUGUUUGCGUGUGAGAAGAAAUUAGUGGAGGAGUGGAGGACUUUAUUGACUAACGUUCAUUUGCAGCUUAAUGUAGCAGAUAAGUGGCCGUGGAAUACUACACAUGGAAUAUUGUAUUCGGUAAAUGAGGCGUAUUUUGUAUUGUAGAAGGAGUUUGGUGUAGGUGUCAUCGUGCCUCCAUUUCAAGACCUAGUGUGGCAUCCUUUUAUCCAUUCAAAAGUAUCAUUAUUUGUCAGGAAAUUGUUUCAAAAUAGGUUUUCUACAAAUGAUAUUUUGUUCAAUCGUGGAAUUAUUUCUUUUGAAGAUCAAUAACGUGUAGCAGAUUGCGAGAAAAUUGAAACAACCCGUCAUUUGUUCUUUGUAUGCCCUCUUUUUGGGUUCGUGUAGUAUAGUGUUUUGAAUUGGCUUGAACUAUAUGGUGCAUUUUCAAUGAAUGUAAUCAAUCAUGCAAUUUGAUAGUCUUUUUUUAUACGAUCGUGUAAUACGUCAAAUAAUAAAUUUAGUUUGAUUUAUGAUGACGUGGGCGAUUUAAAAAUAAAAAAAAUGAGACGAUUUUUUGUUCACGUGUUUUGAAUGCAAAUCUUAUUAUUAAACAUGUUAAACUUUUAUCAUGAAGGUGGAUCAAAUUGCAUGUAAAAGAAUUUUGUUAUGGGUACAAUCAAUGGUAUUCUCAAUCCUUGGUAUGCAUUAGCAUAGUUUGUGCUUAAUUGUUUUAUUUCUUGUUUUAGCAGUUUAGUUUAUGUUUCUAGUUUGUUUUGGGCAUACAGUAAAAAAAAAAUUUAAGCUUUAUUUUGUUUUUGUUCUAAGCACCUCAAUGUUUCUUUAAUAUAUUCAUUUUAGACUUGUUCAAAAAAUAACACUGUCUCAUUAGCAUUAAUUGUUAUUACUCCCCAGUCUGAUAAUAAGUAUCUUUUAAAGUUUUUGUGCACAUAUUAAAAAAUGUUAUAAGUAGAAGAAAUAUAGAACUCAUUUUACCAAAUUAUUUAUCUUAAUUAUUGGUAAGUUUUUCACUAUUAUCAAUAUAAAUUACAAUAAUAUUUUAUAAACGAUAUUUAUUAAAUGAGAGUAUAGAAAAACAAAAUUAAAUUUCAUUGAAAUUUAAAAAUUGAUAAUGACAUUCAUUCAUUUUGAGGCAAUUUCAUCCGAUAAGAUUUGAAUGAAAUUUGCAUUCAAGAAUAUAUUUGGCAUACUCUUAGUGUAUUCUAGCCUUUCUCAUCCAAUGUGCAUGUAUGGAAACAUUCUAUCUAUCAUUCAUUCACAUAGCUAUUAUAUCAAUCGUAAUAAAGAGUUAUUUUACAGACAGUAUCAUUCUCCUCCACAUUGACCCAUUAACUCACCUAACAUGUGCGCAAAUGCCAAGAACAAAAAAUUUAAUGACUGCAAGGUUUGAGACCACCUAAUGAUAAAAUCCCCGUUUAUGUUAUGCAGUGCUUCUUGAUGAAUCCGGUCAAUAUUAACAUGGAAGCAUUGUCGGUCUCUAAUUGAUGUAGUAUUUAGCAAUGCUUACCAGUCUUAAUCAUUUUUUAUUUCUUGAACAUGUGUUUUUGUUAUGAGGUUGUUUCUAGAAUUCAGGAACAAAAAGAAAAGGAAGAAUAGUAGUUGUGCAUGUGAGUGAUUUAAGCAAACUACUAAAUUUCACUCUAGCGAAAAUUAUUUUUUUAUUUUGAAUAUAUUAGUUAAGUAGUGUGUUUACAUUAUAUGAGAAAAUGUUCCACUACAAAUUAAGUCCUCAAAUUCUGAACCAAAAAAUGAAUAUUAUAAUCAAUCAAGAAUGGUAAACCCAAUAUGAACAUACUUAUAACCAAUAAGUUAACAAACAACAUUAUAACAUAUUAGUCACAUAUGUUACUAGCAACAACUUCAAGAAUAUCACGUAACAAUGAAUAUUAUUGCCACACACAUGCUAGAGGGUACCGAGAAAGACUAAUCCAGAUUAAAGCUCACAUGGACAAAGAUAUGCCACAACUCAACAUCAAAGGCUACUUUCAAAUAUAAUAUCAACAUCUAAUUCAAUGAAAAUAUAACAAUGGCACAAUUUCUACAUGCUCAAUUUUUCUCGAACGACAAUCCACACAUAACAUUUUACAACCAACUUACAUGUCCAUCAAAAAGUAGACUCUACCGUUCUUUUGUACCGUUAUGCUUCUAGAUGCACACAAGGUGAUAGGGUUCAGUUUUUUUCUUUUUUCUAAUUUUCAAGUGAAUGAGGAAGGACUUUGAAGAAACGGAUGUUUAGUUGUGAUACUGUGAGAGUAAAUGGAGGUGAAAAGAUAUGGUGAAUGUUGUCUAUUGCAUUGAGAAAUCAAGAUAAGGUCUUAGUCCACAUUAAACUUGACAAGGCAUAAACAAACUAUACUAUCAAAAUCAAGAAGUAAUGUUUAAUCAAACCUUUGAAACGUCUUGAUUAAUAAGCUCAAGUAAGUGGACAAUGUUCAAUGGCAAGAUAUCAGCUACUGACAAAUGAAAGACUGUAUAUAUGAUAUGUGUAAUAUGCUAGGUCUAGAUUCCUAACAUUGUUUCCUAUAUUAUAUAGUAUUUUUUUUGUCAUCUUCCUAAAGAAAAAUUUCCCCCACGCUACAAAUGAACAUGGCAAAGCAAACUUUCUAGAGAUACUAGAAAAUUCAACCAAGCCUAAAAACAACCCUUUGGAGGCCUCCUAAUCAUAUGUAAUCAUUGUCCAUAGUGAAUCAUUGAACACCUCCUCAUUAUAACGUCAGGAUUCAAACUACGCCAAAAGCCACCAUUCCCAGGUGCAUUAGAGAAAGGAUUGGCAGUCAAGACUAGACCUUGUAUGGAGACCAAAACCUGUAGAAUUGUUGAAAAGCGUGGAAGCCAACACUCAUUCUUGUCGCCCUUCCAAGUGUUAAGUAGACUCAGGCAUAUAGAGCCACCUGGUCCCACAUUUGGAGUCCCUUCGGCUCCAAUAAUUACAGCCCUCAUGAGAUCCAUCCUUGAUUCAUAAGCUCGAACAAAUAUUGAAUCUGGUGAGAAUAAAAGAAAGAGUCAAAGAAAUGAGAUUGAGAAAAAUGGAAAAAGCAGGUUGCACUCUAUGGUAUUCAGACAAUAAUUCUACAGUUAUUGAUUUAUAGUAAGUUCUAAAUUCCAAUUUCAUAACAAAUGUCUAGAAACCACUGAGGAAAAAAACUGAUGAGCUUUCCAUAAUAUAUCAUGACAAUAAGCCAAGACCCUUUGGAUAUAUGACAGGAACCAAACCUACCAUUUCAGAAGCAAUGACUAGAUUAAACUAGGAUCAAAAGAGAAACAAAGCAUGACUUUAAAGGUAUAAAAAAUUAAAAUCUUACCUCCUUCAAGGAGGAAUCUUUGUGAAUAAAUAAACGGUCUGAAGUGUCACUGAUAAUGUUGAAUUGCUUAAAACUUCCAAAUUUCCUCACAAUUUCAUCUUUGAAAUUUGCAAGGUAUGAACUGCUACAACCACCUGUCUUCUUGGCAGUUUUAGAUUUGGGGGAAAAUGGUUCAUGACCUCUAGAUUGCCAUCCAAACUAGCAUGCUUCAUUUUACAGCGGAAAUAUUUCGACAACCUCUCAGAAUAAGAUGAUUCUACUCCUAAUGAAAGAUUCAAACCACCCCUUACUGUGACUGUUUUUGUAAGUACUAUUCUUCAAACCUUGAUCAUAUUCAACGCCAGGGUGAAAAAAAAUAUAUCCAGAUACAUUCCAAAAAGAAUUCAAAGCAAAAUGUAAAAGACGUUUAGAAGUUAGAAAAGAUAAUACCAAUCUACUGCGAGAGAUGACAAAUCAAAUAUCAAUCUUAAUGUUAUACAAACUACAACUUGAUUAAUGGCUUCAAUUGUGUUCCUCAUGUUACUUUUACUUACUUUUUCAUCAAUUAGCACUAAAUCAUCAGAGUCAUCAUCGUCAUGAAUGUCAGAUAUAUCCUGAGCAUAAUGUAUAAUAUUAAUCCAUUGCAGAAAUGACAAAUAACAGCUUAAUCUUAAUGUUACUGACUUUUUCACCUAUUAUCACUAAAUCAUCGCCAUCGCCAUCAAUGUCAAUCACAUCGCACAAAACAGCCUGCAAAAUUCAAUAGAAUAAUUAGGUGUGAGAAAAGAAAAAGACAGUGUAGAGUAUUAGAAACAUUCAAAAAGCAUAAACAAAAUAAAAGAGCAGAAAAUAGCAGUGGUAGAGUUUACCCUAAAAGAGAAGUAACAACUAACAAUAUGAAAGUGAUAAUUAGGGUUUCAAAAUGGUUUAAGAGUUAUGGUCUCAAAAUGUUUGGUAUCCCACACAAAUUCUAAGAGCAUGUAGUAAGCAACUAAUAAUAGCAAAAGCAAUGACAUUAAAAUAGAAAGAGAAGAAUUUUGAAGGAAAAAAAGAGAAGCGUACGCGUUUCCGUUUAUUGAGAAGGGGAAUUGGGGAAAAAUCUCAACGAUGUUGGCGUCCAUUACAGAGACGGAAACACGCCGUCACUCAUUUUCCGUUUCGAAUUGUCACAAAUCGUUCGAAAUGGUUUUGGCGGUAAUUUUUCUAUUCACCUAUUUUUGGCCCACUUUGCAUGUUGCGAAGUUCUAAUAGUUCACAGACUCACUGAUCUCCAGCGUGCUCUAAAAUAUAUAAAUAACUAGGGUAUUAUUUUGGUGGGAUUAGGAUCCUAAUUAAUUUAUUUUAGAGUAAUGUCAAAUCUUGAUUGAAAAUCAAUGAAAAUAAUGGUCACUUUGUCGAUUAUAACAGCAAUUUAAAACUCUACAUUUAAAGUUUGGAUUUCAUGGGAUUGAACGUUUGAUCUGUUAUCGGUCAUAUGAUAUUUAAGCUAGCGGCUCACAACAUACUUUUUAGCUUUAGCUUUUUCGAUAUUAUAUUUCUUCUUCAGAGCAUCUCAAACAUGUCUAGCAAUAUUGUUAGAACGGUGUUAAUCAUAUAGAUCAUCAGCAAGUUCAAUAAGAAUAUAAUUCCUACAUAAGUAAUCAUUAUGUUCUCAUCUGAUUAACUCAGUAGUUUUCUUAUCAUUUUUACGUUUGUUCACUUGUUUCUAGAACAAUAGGAAUGUCAUUGUUUAGAACAUUGGUAACUUUUUUUAUUAUUAAGAAAAAUAACAUAUUUUUGUUGUCAUCGUUUUAAGUGGCAUCCCUAUAACCGACAAGAUUUAUUGAAAUCAGAAGUAGUAGAACCAUAUAUAGUAAUUUCGUUCGAAAGAUAUGACAAAGGGAAACGUCUUUAAAUUGUUGUUUUUGAGUUUUGAAAAAAUUAUUUUAAAAUAAAUUUCAGUCACUAAAGAUGUCACUGAGUUGAGUCGCGGACUAGGUCGCUCUCUUUAAGAUGUUUCAUGGCAUUGUCUAAAUUAUGCAAGGUAGACUAUCAAGCACAAAGUUUCCAAGAUAAAACAUCAUAGACAAACUAUAGCGUAAUCCUACCACAAUGUCGAAAAUUGUUGUAGAAACUGUGAUCACUCGAAAGAAAUAAAUAAAAAAUAAAGCAAAAAUGGGAGAGAGAAAAUACUCAGAUUUUUGGAGUGUUUUCGGUGUCAUUUUCAACUGAGCGUAGUCCUCUAUUUAUAGAGAAAUUUUGCAACGAACAAGAGAGAAAUAAGUAUAAAACAUGUUAAUCAAACAAUAUCAUAGAGAAAAGCACACAAAUAAUUUGUUAAUACACCACUUAACUCAAGCACAACCAAACAGACGGUGGCGCCCGUGUGGUGGUCAAUUUGUAUGCAUUCUCACUUCUUCGCAAAAUUGGAUACCCAUUGGGACACACCCCAAUUAACAUACUUUCAUCUUACAAUCACUACUAGUGUGUGUUAUCAUUCCUAUAUGAAACUUCCUUUUUUUUUUUUCAAUUCACAACAACUAGCUCUAUGGUUUUCAAUAUCAUUUGAAACAUGAUUGAUAUUAAAUAUAUAUAUAUAUAUAUAUAUAUAUAUAUAUAUAUUCAAAAAAAAACUACUAAUCGAUAUAAAUUAAUAUAGCAAAGAAUAUGACAAAAUUCUAAAUUUAUAUACUUAAAUUUUUUAUAGAGACUACAAAAUAUGGUGAAAUUGUGUUCUCUUAUUUGUUUGAUUUUAGAUACACAGAGGACUAAUUUGUCCAAUUUUGAAAACGAAAUUGAAACUUAGGUUUUUUUUUUGUUCUUCUUCUAUUAUUUCAUAUUUUCUUAUUCUUACAAGAAUAUUCAUUUAUAUAAUUUAUUUUUCUUCCUCUUUUAUGAUGUUCAAAUCGUAUAAAAUGGAAGAAUCAAAGACCACUUAUUGUUCUUCCUCCGCGGAUGAAAGCUUAAACCCGACGAUUCUCAAACGUCAUUGUGAAAUAAAAGUUGUUAUAAUUGUUGCAACUAUGAAUAACUUUGGAAGAUAAUUUUUUUCGUGUUCUUUCAGCCAUUUCUUUUUAUUUUUUUCUUUCAGAAUGAUAUAUAUAAUUGCAAUAUCUUUAUAUGUUAAGGAACUAGAUUUGCUUAAUGGGCAAACAUACUAACGUGGAAGACAAAGUUGUUGGACAUUUUGGUAAAAAAAAUCAUCAACUCAGAACAAUAGAGCUGGUGGUGUUUGGAAAGUAAGAAUGAUUGACAAACUAGUAUGAUUAUCUAAUGACCAUGAACAAUGGAGUCAUUAGAGAAUGAAAUCAAAAUAUUGAAAUAUAUGUUGGCAAUGAUAUUUAUAUUUUGUAUUUUAAACCAUUAUUAUGAGAGACAUUAAUAAUUUAUUUUGAAUGUGACACUUUGAUGGCUGGUGGUCCAAGAGCUAGUUAUGUCGUGGGUGGUGGUGUUCUAAUGGGAAGAGGUGAUGGUUCAUUCAUGAGUGGUGGUGUAGGUCUCUUGAUUGGUGAUGUCCUUAUGCGAAACCGAUUAAGGUAAUAACUAGUCCUAUAAGUUCAUAUGUUUUAAAAUGCAAAAAUUAAGAUCAAUAUACACAAAUUAGUCCUUGAAAUUGCUCUUACUAUCAAUUAAGUCCCUAAAGUCAUAUAAAAAAUUGCAACUAGUCCCUAGUUAUCAUACAUUUUAUGUAGUUCUCAAUACAUCUCCUUGAACAGGUACUUCUUGGGACGAUAUUUGAUCUUCAAGAGCAGAUUCAAACUGUGAAAGUGGUAUUUCAAUUUGGUUUUGUCCCAUGUCUUAAUUUGGGGACAAAAUUAGAGAAAUUGAAGAAAUGAGUGGGCAAACUUUGAGAUAAUAAUAAAAAUAAAUGGGGGAACGAAAAUGGAGAAAUUACCUUUGGCAAAGGCAUGAAAAGAAUUCACUUUCAAAGUUUUUUUUUUAGUUGCAGUAACUUAAACAUCAACUUUUUUUUACAAUGAUAUUUAAGAAUCAUUGACUUCAAGCUUUCAUAUAUGAAGGAAUAAGAAUAAGUGGUUCUUGAUUUUUUUUCAACACCAUGAAAGAGGAAGAAGAAUAAAUUAUAUAAAUGAAGAUUCUUGAAAGAAAAAGAUAUGAAAUCCUAGAAGAAGAACAAUAAUGAACUAUAUAGAUGGAGAUGUUACCGUUGCAAUAACGACAUAGUUUCAGUUUUAAAAAAGAAAUUGAGUUUUAGUUUCGUUUUUAAAAUUGAGCAAAUUAACCACCCAUAUUUUCAAAAUCGGACAAAUUAGCUCAUCUCUUACAUACAAUGAAUUAACUAACAAUUGAGCUCGCCAUAGAAGUAGUUAACGCGUUAACCUCAUUAGCAUAGCAAACUAACAGAUGCAUGGACGGACCCAAAAAUUUUGAGCAGUAAAAACACUGUAUAUCUCUUUAAACGGUUGUCACAUGUAUAAUUCUAAAAUUAAGAGUAAAUAGCCUUUGAGUUUAUCAAAAUUAUAUACAACCUCACAUAAUCUCCUUUUUAGUAAUUUUAUACACUAAAUUGUUUAGAGAAAAAUACAUUUGAGUACUAAAUUAAUUAACUAAAGACACAUUUAAAGAACAAAAUAACUAUUGAAAGACACGUUUAUUUUUGCUAUGGUAAUUUUAAUACAUUUAAAAACUAUUAUAACAAUACUAAUUUACAUUUAUAAACAAAGUUUAAACAUAGUGGAGGCAUAAUAAUGUAUUUCUUUAAUGUAUUAAAUACUAAAAUUUUAUUUUUUUUAAAUCAAGUAGAGGUUAUUCCCCAAAAAGUAAUGAGUGGGUUCGUCUCUAAAUGGAUAGCUAUACUAUAUUGUAUGAUGUCUUUCAAUUUUAACGUGUUAUUUAUCUAUUUUUAAAAUUUAAAAGUAAAUACUCUAUCCAAUAAUUUCAAAAGACAACUUAGUGAUUUACUCAUUAAUUAUACUAUGUUAAUGGAGUUGGUAGGUUAUUUACAUGGAUUCUUUCUAUAUGUACACUGUUAAAAUAAUAUUGAGAUCUGCAACAAAGAUUAACCAACAAAAUAGAAGACAAAAAAUUGCAGAAGAAAAACAAAAACGCAGAAUGUUCAGAAAACCAGAAAACGGAUAUUGAUUAUCGUUCUUCGUUUUCUACAGUUUUCUAAAACAAUUUUCCUUUCUGCAGUUUUCUAAAACCAGUUUUCUCUAUCAACGCAAAUGAAAAUUAAAGAAGGAUAAGAGAAGAAUAACACCAAGAAUGUACGUGUUCGGUCUCAAUUGAUGAGAUCUACGUCACGGGCAAGCAAGCAAGAUUAAUCCACUAUUAAUGAUUGAACUUUACAAGAUUAAAGCCUUCUCAAGAUUGAUCUCCUAGUAUCUAUCAAUGUUUAUGAACCAGCAAUGCUAGCCUUUCUCUCAAUCUUUCUCUUCUCCCUUUAAUCUUCUCUCUCUGAUUUUCUAUGAAUCAUGAAUUGCAUAUGUGCCUCUUAGUUUUCCAGCUCUCACUACUAUUACAACAACAUUACAUUAAUGCAUUUACAACUAUAGUAUUUAAAGACAUUUACUUAACUAACUAUAACCACCUUGUCAUAACUAACUUGGCCAAAGGUAGUUAUAACAACUCUUAAGAAUAACUAACUUUAUGAUUUGAGGCGCACAUUCACAAUUCUCCACCUUGACUCAAUAUCAGAAUAAUUCAAUCAUUGACCUUGCUGCUAUUGCUUCAUCUUUACUGUUUGUCAAAUCCAACUAUGUCCAAGCAAUGCUUGAACUUAGUUUGUGAAAGUGAUUUGGUGAAUGCAUCAGAUGGGUUGUCCUCAGUUGCAAUCUUCUCAACUGAAACCUGCUUUGAAUCGAUCGCAUCUCUUAUGAAGUGAUACUUAACAUCAAUAUGUUUAGACUUAUUAUGAUACACUUGAUGCUUAGAUAAGUGUAUAGCACUUUGACUAUCACAAUAAAUUGAAACAUAACUCUGAUUUAUUCCUAGCUCACCAAUAAGUCCUUUCAUCCAUAAAGCUUCUUUAACGCCUUCAAUAAGCGCAAUGAAUUCAGCUUGAGUUAUAGAAAGUGCUACCAUCGACUGUGUAAUUGCUCUCCAGCUUACAGCAGUCCCAUAUAGAGUGAAAACAUAACCAGAAAUUGAUUUUCUAGUGUCCAUGUUUCCAGCAUAAUUCGAGUCCACAUAUCAUUUGAUUGGUUCCUUGUCAUGACGAGUCUUUUUGAAUUUUAAACCUGUUGUUAGUGAGCCAUUUAAGUAUCUCAUAAUCCACUUAAGUGAUGAUCAAUGCAGUGCUCCUGGAUCUGCCAUAAAUCUGCUAACAACAUUCAUAACAUAAGCCAAAUCUGGCCUGCUACAUAUCAUUCCAUACAUUAUGCUGCCAACUCCACUAGCAUAAGGAAUGGUACUCAUUCUUUGUCUUUCCUCAGCAGUCUUAGGUGAGUCUUGCAUAGACAAUUUGUAAUUUUGUCCCAGGCGAGUAGUAAUUUGUCUUGCCUCAUGCAUUCUAUAUUUAGUGACAACUUUCUUCAGGUAGGCAACUUGAGAAAGAAAUAGUUCCCAUUUCAUUCUAUUUCUUUUUAUAUCCAUUCCUAAGAUCCUUUUGGCCUCUCCAAGUUAUUUCAUCUCAAACUCAUUUCUAAGAUCAGCUUUGAACCUUUUAAUCUGGUCUUUACUUGAGCUUGCAAGAAGAAUAUCAUCCACAUAGAGUAAUAGAUAAAUUGGAGAACAUUCUUGACUUUUCUGAAAAUCUGGAGAACGUUUUUGAGCUGGAGAACGUUCUUGAUUUUUCUCUUUUAGAAUGUAAACACAGUUGUCAAAACUACAUCUUUGGAAACCAUAUCUAAUCAUGAAAUCAUCAAACUUCAUGUACCAUUGUCUAGGACUUUGCUUUUAGGCCAUACAAUGAUUUUUUAAGAAGACAAACCUUGUUUCUGCCUUUAGCGAAUCCUCCAGGUUGCUGCAUAUAAAUGGUUUCUUCCAGAUCACCAUGUAGAAAUGUUGUUUUGACAUCCAACUGCUCUAAUUCCAAGUCUUGUUGAGUUACAAUUGAAAGUAGAAUUCCAAGCUGCGAAUAUCCCUUUGCAACUAAUCUUGCUUUGAACCUUAUCUUCUCUUUACCUUGAAUGCCUUCCUUUCUUUUGAACACCCAUUUUGAUCCAAUUACCCUUUGACUCUUAGGAAUGUCAACCAAAAUCUAGGUUUGAUUCUUUUCUAAUGAUUGCAUUUCUUCAUUCAUAGCUGUCAUCCAAGCUUCUUUGUCCUCACUAUUAAUGGCUUCCUUGUAGUUGCUUGGUUCAUCUCUUUGAAGAUCUUCAGCAACACUUAAAGCAUAACAAAUUAAAUCUGCUUCACCAUAUCUGAUUGGAGGCUUGAUAACCCUUUUUUCUCUAUCCUUACCAAGUUGUAAUUGGCCAAAUAUGUUUCUGUUGCAGCAUUAUCAUCAUGUGAUGUAUCAAUGACGUCUUCAUGAUUAAUCUCUUGAUCUCCAGGUGACUCCACCUCAAUCUGAGCACUCUUUUCAUUGCUGUUUGAAGCACUGUUAAAUGAAGAACGUUCUGCGUUUCUGCAAUGUUCUUCAUUUCUGCAUAAUUCAAACGGAGAAUGUUCUGCGUUUCUGCAUAACUGAAACGGAGAAUGUUCUGCUUUUCUGCAAUGUUCUUCAUUUCUGCAGUUCUAAAACGGAGAAUGUUCUGCGUUUCUGCAUAACUGAAAUGGAGAAUGUUCUUUGUCAAUCAUGGACAUUCUUGUUUCAUCAAACACUACAUCUCUUGAUAUGAUGCACUUGGGCACACCUUGGUCAAUUCUCCACAACUUGUAACCUUUUAUUCCUUUAGGAUAACCAAUGAAAACACAUUUGAUUGCUGUAGGAUCCAACUUAUCUUGCCUUGUAUGAGCAAAUGCUAAGGAACCAAAUACCUUCAUAUUUGAGUAGUAUGCUGGUUUGUCAUUCCACAUCUCAAUUGGUGUCUUAAAUCCAAUAGCUGAUGAAGGGCAUCUAUUUAUCAAAUCCAAUACUAGCCUUUCUCUCAAUCUUUCUCUUCUCCCUUUAAUCUUCUCUCUCUGAUUUUCUAUGAAUCAUGAAUUGCAUAAGUGUCUUGUAAGACCCAUAAUUUUAAGGUACACUUUAUGUAUUUUAUAUGUUUUGGAUUUUGGCUCGGAGGCUUUUUAGCCAAAGUUAAUAAUAUUAUGGAGUGUAUAGGAUCAAAAAGUUAUUUUGACCCCGUUUAGAAUUACUCAUCGAUAAAUAAAUUUAAAUUAAGUGCGGUAAAUCCUUUACGGAGAAUUUAAUGCAUUACGGGUGAAAUGGUAAUUUAACAAAUAUCUAGACAUUUUGAGAUAUUUGUUAAGUUAUAUUUAAUAUAUAUAUGUUUGCUGGAGAGAAUAGAAAGGAAGGAAAUUAAAAGGAAGGAAAAGGAAAAGAAAAGGUUAUAUAAAGGAAAGAAGGAAAUAGAAAGGAAGGAAAAACAAAGAAAGGAAAAAGGAAGGAAGGAAAAUCUGAUUUUCCAUUUUCUUCCUCUGCCAACCGCGGCCAUUUCUCCCUCCUUCUUCCGUUUUCAUUUUCGUCGCUUUCUUUUCUUCAAAACUCGUAACCCAAGGUUGGGUGAGAGUUAGAACAAAGGUUUCACAACUCCACUCUUCCUCUUUGAUCCGAAAACGAAGAAAAACGGUAUUUGAGAUUCAAACACAAACCCCUCCGUUUCUUCUAGAUCCAAGCUUCAUUUCGCGAAGAGUUAGAAGGGAAAGUUGCUCACUACCACGCUACGGUGCUAGGGGACCAAUUUGGAGGCGACGUUGCGAGCGGAGAUUUUUACCGGAUUUGCUCGCGGUACCAGAAACGCACGUUAGAGUUAACGCGAAGGUAAGGGCUCCUUCCAAACUUUUAGUUUGCAUCUAGGGCCUUAUCUGUGGUUGUGUGGAAACGAAUUUUGUUAGGAUUGGAGUAUUAUUUUGGGAAAAAUGAAUUUACCUCACGUAUGUAAGAUUUUGAGUAAAUGAAACUUGUGUGUUUUGAGUAGUGGAUUGUGUCGAUUUGUGUUCGUUGUUUUUGACAUGCUCUUAAUUGAUAUUGAUGAAAUUUGAUAUGUGUAUGGUUGGAUCUUGUGAAUAAAUGAAUUGAUGUGUUUUGAUGUGAGAAUUUGUUUGAGUUUGUGUUGUGUGGAAUUUGAAAACCAUUAAGUUAAAUGAGUAUUAAGAAUAAGGAAUCUCUUAAUGUCUUGUUUACUUAAUGUGCGUUUGUUUGUGAAAAAUCGUUUAAGUUAACUGGGCGUUAAGAAUGGGGAAUCUCUUAAUGUCUUGUUUACUUAAUGUGCGUUUGUUUGUGAAAAAUCGUUUAAGUUAACUGGGCGUUAAGAAUGGGGAAUCUCUUAAUGUCUCGGUUACUUAAUAUUUUGUUUUAAGAAAAAUCGUUUAAAGAUAACUGGGCGUUAAGAAUGGGGAAUCUCUUAAUGUCUCGGUUACUUAAUAUUUGUUUUUGAAAAUCGUUUAAGUUAACUGGGCGUUAAGAAUGGGGAAUCUCUUAAUGUCUCGGUUACUUAAUAUUUUGUUUUAAAGAAAAAUCGUUUAAGUUAACUGGGCGUUAAGAAUGGGGAAUCUCUUAAUGUCUCGGUUACUUAAUAUUUUGUUUUAAAGAAAAAUCGUUUAAGUUAACUGGGCGUUAAGAAUGGGGAAUCUCUUAAUGUCUCGGUUACUUAACAUUUUGUUUUGAAAACCGUUUAAGUAAACUGGGCGUUAAGAAUGGGGAAUCUCUUAAUGUCUCGGUUACUUAAUAUUUGUUUUUGAAAAUCGUUUAAGUUAACUGGGCGUUAAGAAUGGGGAAUCUCUUAAUGUCUCGGUUACUUAAUAUUUUGUUUUAAAGAAAAAUCGUUUAAGUUAACUGGGCGUUAAGAAUGGGGAAUCUCUUAAUGUCUCGGUUACUUAAUAUUUUGUUUUAAAGAAAAAUCGUUUAAGUUAACUGGGCGUUAAGAAUGGGGAAUCUCUUAAUGUCUCGGUUACUUAAUAUUUUGUUUUAAAGAAAAAUCGUUUAAGUUAACUGGGCGUUAAGAAUGGGGAAUCUCUUAAUGUCUCGGUUACUUAAUAUUUUGUUUUAAAGAAAAAUCGUUUAAGUUAACUGGGCGUUAAGAAUGGGGAAUCUCUUAAUGUCUCGGUUACUUAAUAUUUUGUUUUAAAGAAAAAUCGUUUAAGUUAACUGGGCGUUAAGAAUGGGGAAUCUCUUAAUGUCUCGGUUACUUAAUAUUUUGUUUUAAAGAAAAAUCGUUUAAGUUAACUGGGCGUUAAGAAUGGGGAAUCUCUUAAUGUCUCGGUUACUUAAUAUUUUGUUUUAAAGAAAAAUCGUUUAAGUUAACUGGGCGUUAAGAAUGGGGAAUCUCUUAAUGUCUCGGUUACUUAAUAUUUUGUUUUAAAGAAAAAUCGUUUAAGUUAACUGGGCGUUAAGAAUGGGGAAUCUCUUAAUGUCUCGGUUACUUAAUAUUUUGUUUUAAAGAAAAAUCGUUUAAGUUAACUGGGCGUUAAGAAUGGGGAAUCUCUUAAUGUCUCGGUUACUUAAUAUUUUGUUUUAAAGAAAAAUCGUUUAAGUUAACUGGGCGUUAAGAAUGGGGAAUCUCUUAAUGUCUCGGUUACUUAAUAUUUUGUUUUAAAGAAAAAUCGUUUAAGUUAACUGGGCGUUAAGAAUGGGGAAUCUCUUAAUGUCUCGGUUACUUAAUAUUUUGUUUUAAAGAAAAAUCGUUUAAGUUAACUGGGCGUUAAGAAUGGGGAAUCUCUUAAUGUCUCGGUUACUUAAUAUUUUGUUUUAAAGAAAAAUCGUUUAAGUUAACUGGGCGUUAAGAAUGGGGAAUCUCUUAAUGUCUCGGUUACUUAAUAUUUUGUUUUAAAGAAAAAUCGUUUAAGUUAACUGGGCGUUAAGAAUGGGGAAUCUCUUAAUGUCUCGGUUACUUAAUAUUUUGUUUUAAAGAAAAAUCGUUUAAGUUAACUGGGCGUUAAGAAUGGGGAAUCUCUUAAUGUCUCGGUUACUUAAUAUUUUGUUUUAAAGAAAAAUCGUUUAAGUUAACUGGGCGUUAAGAAUGGGGAAUCUCUUAAUGUCUCGGUUACUUAAUAUUUUGUUUUGAAAACCGUUUUUACUUUCAUUUUUAAUUGGCAAAGCAUUGUAUGAACUUUUCGCAUAUUGAAAAUUCUGAUAAGGUGCAUGCUUAGCUGAAAAGUUAUUUUUAGCAUUUAAAACUUAAAUGUUAUGUGUUAACUGUUAUUUUCGGUUGGUGACCUUUACAAUUAUUGUGGAAAUCUGGGCUUUACCCUCAGAUGAGAGUCAGGACGAUCCUACCGAUUCGUACCCUACGGACGGGAAUGGAGAUGGGAACGCUUGACUGCAGCUACGUUAGGAGAAUCUCACGGGGCGCGUGGAGGUCACUCCAGGUGUUUAGUUGUGUUGUAAAAUGAUCAGAUUAGGUUGACAUAGAGGGAUCAGAUGUCUUUCUUUUGUAUUGCAUUUAUUUUAAAAUGGAAGACUGUACCUAUACUAAUAUUGUCAGCUUGACAUGUUAUUUUCGAUGGGUUACAUGUACCAUUUGUUGUUGGGUAAAUGGUUUGGAUUUAUAAUUGGAGUAACUUUUCCGCUUCUUAUAAAUUAUAAUGACUCAAUUAUUUAUCCAAAGGCAUUUCUUUAUUUAUUUCUCUGCUUUAUUUUAAAUUCUUUUGAAAAAAAAAAUAUAUACCCUCGCUUUGAAAAAUGGGGUGUUACAUGUCUCUUAGUUUUCCAGCUCUCACUGCUAUUACAACAACAUUACAUUAAUGCAUUUACAACUAUAGUAUUUAAAGACAUUUACUUAACUAACUAUAACCACCUUGUCAUAACUAACUUGGUCAAAGGUAGUUAUAACAACUCUUAAGCAUAACUAACUUUAUGAUUUGAGGCACACAUUCACAUACACUGACUCUAAAUACUCGUAUCAUGUGUAAUUGUUCAUGUUGAAUGAAUCAUUCUAUUAAUUUCUUUUGUUUUGGUUCAAUUUUUUUUGGAUAAAAGUUUCGGUUCAAUUUUUUUUGGAUAAAAGUUUUGGUUCAUUGAUCAUUAGACAAAUGAUUAAUAAAAUUAUAGAACAUGAUAAUAGCAAGUGUCACAAAAAAUUGUACUGUGCUGAACUGAAAAACAAAGAACGUGAAGAACCGGCAAAAUAAGAUCUGAAUAUUUGAUUGGCAUGAUGGCCUUGUUGUAUUUUGAAUAGUUUUACACCAGUGGUCACAUUAAUUAAUAGUAAUAUAUUUGGUGGAUUUAUUCACCAAACAAAAUAUAUUCGGUUGUUUUAUCAAAAAAGAUACAUAUAUUCGGUGGACUCGUAGAGAAUAAAUGACAAGGUGCAGUCUCAAAUAAUAUCAUGGUCGUGACGAUAUUAAAUGACAAGUAUAAACAUAUAUUUGAAAUAAAUUUUGUAGGGUUAGUAGCUGCCCCAAACACCUUCCUUUUUUAUAGACUCUUCUUCUAUUAGAUUGAUUGAGGUGAUUUAAGGUCAGUUUUUUUAUUUAAUAUGGUUUUUCAAUUUUUUUAUUAAUUAAAUAAGUAUUUUUUACAUUAUUUUUUUUUUAUAAGUUUGAUUUUUUUUCUCACCAAUAUAUAUGUUUGAUUUAUUGUUUUAUUACGGUGUUUAUUUGAUUUAAAUUAAUAAAUUAACUUCGAUUAAACGCAUAUUUUAUCGCAGUUUUAUUUAAUUGAGACUGGUAAAUUAACUUCGAUUAAACGCAUAUUUUAUCGCAGUUUCAUUUAAUUGAGACUGAUAAAUUAACUUCGAUUAAUAUAUUUAAUUAAUAAUUUUAAUAUCUUCAUCGAUACAACUUUAAACAUUUAUAUUUUAGACUUUUUAUUUUAUUAUAUACGUAAAUUUUGUCACAAUUAUAAAUAUUAUGAUAUUUUAUACUAUUAAAUUAGAUGCUACAAAUUUAAUAAUAGAUUUUUCUUUUUAAUUUUAGCAUUUUUUAUAUAACUUUUACUCAUUUAUAUAUAAAAAAAUUAUCCGGAAAAAGUAUAAACGUAUAUUUCCUUAUGCUCAUAAUAAUCAACCUAUUACACAUAAUAUUGUUUUAUUGUUAAAGUUUCGUAUUAUAUUAAAUUUUUUUUUAUAUUUGGGACGGAAGAAAAUAAUUGUUUAAUUUUUUUAGAAGAGAGAGUUGUACUGAUGUUCUUAUUACUUUAAAUUUUAUGAUUCUCCUUUAAAUCGCUAAAUUAUUUUAUAAACUUCUCAAAAUAUGAAAUCAAUACAAGUUUAUAAAUACAAGCAAUGUUAAUAAUAUUAACACUAAUCAUUAACAUCAACAAUUUCAAAUAAAAUAAAGCAAGCAAUACUACUUUUACAAAUCAGUUUUUUAGAGGUUGAGUCAUCUAAUAAUAUUAUAGUCAAAUUAUAAACUUAAAUUAUCAUGUAAUAUUAUAGUCUACUAAAGAUUUAUUGAAUCAUUUGAUGUUAAAUUGCUACUAUCGAAUUAUACAUGUUACAUUUCAAAUGUCUAAUAUUUAGCAUGAGAAAAUGUGUUAAGUAUCUUAUAUUAAAUGAAUAUUAUGAUAUGAAUAUGAGUUUAAUAAAAGCUAUUAUCACCUUCAAAACGGAUUUUUUAAAAGUUGAGUUAGAUUGAAACUAAAUUAUAAGACAUAUAAAGUCAUUGAGUUGUGAGCAUGUGAUGAAGGAACAUUGAAUUGAGGUUCUAAGUAACCACUCCUACAAAGGCAACCCAUAUAUCCCUACUUGUCGUGUAGGGCAACAAUUAUUGGUCACAUGUUGGGCAGAUGAGUUUGACGGAGGAAAGUGGUCCCUAUAUAUAUUUGAGUGGCUGAUCAUCGACUUGAAAAAAUACCAAAGAUUUCAAACUGUUGUACUCUUGAAACUUCAUAGAGAAGUAAUUGAAUGAAUUUUAAUAAAGAAGCUACUUUUGCAAAAGUAACGAUAACUAGAAUUAUAGGACUCUUAAGAACACACGCCUAACACAUUUUUUGUUGAUAAUUUUAAUAUACUUUUUCUAGUAGUUGAAAUUCAUAUUAAAUUCAUUAACUAAUUCAGGUCGAGUCCAAGUCAAUUUGAUGGUUGUUGUUAAAAUUUUAAACAAUAAAAAAAAUGUAUUAUUAACAUUUUUUCUUUGUUGUAAUUAUCACAAUAAAUGUUUGAAUAUUUAUAAAUCAAUCAAAAAAAAUAUUUGAACAUUUAAACUCUUAGUCUAUGUUUGAUUUUAUAUUUAGAGCAUUAAGAAUUAAUUUUGAAGGAGUCAAAUUAAUUUUGACAAAAGCGAGCAUCAGAGAAAGCCAUUGCAUACUAGGGUUUAAUGUUUUUUUCGUUGAAAAAAUUAAAAAUACAUUAAAGAAAAUUACUUGAAAUGCAAGAUGUGCCAAGAAUAAAUGAAAAAAAAAACAAUUUACAAUAAGUAAAUUCAAAAAGUAUAUAAGUAAAACACCAAACACUUUAAAGGACUCACUCAGACCACUACAAAAAACAUACACAACUACAAAAUUAAGACAUCAUAUUACAGAGAAAUACUUGGGUUUUGCCAUCAAGUAUAAAAUCAUAAUCAAACCCCUUUGACCUUGAUUUUAACCCCCACCACGAUGUUAACUUCACACGUUCAACUAACUCUAACCUCUAAAUUGCUUAAACACAUGGUCAUUGCGGACCUUCUAAAUUAUCCAAUUACAUCUCAAUCAAAUAACUUGUAACUUUUAUUUUGACCUCUUAAUACAAGAGAAUAAGCUAUCAAAUUGAAGAACAUAAUACAUAAUUAGAUAUAGCAUGUUAAGUGUUAAAAUAUCAUACCAACGUACAAAAAAUAACACUAAAAAGUAAGUGUUGUAAUGUUACCUCGUUCGAAUAUCACCCAAUAGAUAAAUUAUUUUUAACUAAAAAUUAAAAUUUGUAACUAUUAAAUUUAAAUAUUAUUAAAACACUGAAAUUUAUUAUUUAAACUUAUUUUUAUAUAAAUAGGUCUAAACUUAAAUUAUUUUAAAUUUAACUAACUUUUAAAUAAAAUAAUAUUUUAUCGACACAUAAUCAAAUAUAUGUAAAAAAAUUAUUUGGGUGGACAACUCAACUCAACAAAGUGAUUCGCUUUUGAAAGGGUGAUAAGUGGCUACACACGAUUGCUUCGUUAAAGGGAAGGAGAUUCGAUCAUUCAUUUUACUACUAUUGAUCAAUAUUAAGACAACGAAGCGUGGAAUAGUUUUAGGAAUAAAUUCGUAUAAAAUAACUUUCAUCUCGUGUUUUCUACUACCAAACAACAGUGUAACGAAGCUUCAUUCACCUCGAGCUGAAACAAAACAAAAGCCAAACUAUUGAAGUGGGGAAAUUUAUUUUAGUUUGUGUUGUUUUCAGACAUUAAUUAGGCUUCAUUGGAAAUAACACCACGCCUGUCCUUGUUGCCUUAUUCUUUACGGCUUACGCCAGCCGACCUUGUUAAAGUGUUAAGUAGUAAUUUGAUAUUUUACUUUGACCGUAAAUAAGAAGUUGAAAAUAAUUUGGGAUAAACCGUGAUCCUUCAAUGUUUAUGACAUUGUUAUUGUAGUAUACGAUUCAAUUAAAAUUUUCAAUUAUUCUGUUACUCAUAUAAAUGUAUGUUAGUUUAAUCAUUAAUGUUAAAUUAACUGAUAAUUGUAUCACUGAACCAAACGAUACUAAAUCUAUAAAAAAAAUUACAAAAUUUAAAACAUUUCUUCAUCUUAUAUCACAUUAUAUAUAUAUAUAUUUUGUAUCUCUAAUUCUAAACUUAACAUUUAUUCUUCUCCCAAUUAAAAACAAUUAAAGGUAAAAUAUUGUCCUUAAAUAUCAAAUUUUAUUUUUUAAGAGUUAACUGCACCACUUUCAAAAUUAUGAGAGUGAUUAACGUUUCUAAAAAAAAAUAUGCUUUUACAUUUUAUGAAAUCUAAAAUGAAUAAAAAAAGACCUGAAUAGACUUAAAUUUUGUGAUAUCAGUCAUGAGAAGACCUAAUUAGAGAAGCUCACUGUCACAUGCCGUAAUUGAUAAGCAUCGGUAAUGUGUGCGCACGCAAUUUACCAAAAGAAAAAGUGGUAAGGCGUAAUUUCAAAGCACCUUUUAAGAGGCCAAUAGAGAAAGUUGUCACUCAUCAUCACUCGCCCACUCAAUUCUGUUCUGAAAAAUGUACUGUAAAUCACAAGAGCAAAUAAGGAUUUGUGGAGGUACAAUGUGGUCCAUUAGUAAAUUAUUAAUAACAAUCAUUGAAUAUUACUGCUACCACACCAACGCCAAAUAAAUAGACUUGGGUUGUUUGUACAUAAUUGAAUGUUUGAGUUGAGUGUGACCGCUGCAUCUAAUACAAAUUGCAAAUAAAUAUUUGCGAAACUUGUAUCAUUGUGUAUAGGUGCUGUGAUUCAUACAUUUACUCUGUUUUUUUGUUAAAACUACUUCUGUGUGACAAAUCGCAUUUGACUAUUUAAGCUAUGUUUGUUUUACUACACUAGUUAAGCUAUAUUAAUCUAAAUAUUAAUAUAAAUUUGAUAAAAUGUAUUUAAAUGAAACAUGAAUUUACUUAAGAUUAAAAUAAAAAACAGAAACGAUCACUCAAGGUUUUAAUGAAUUUUAUCUUUCCUGCUUAUUGUAAAUAUCAUUCUUCAGUUUAAUAAAUUUCUUCUUUUUGUAAAACAAAAAAAAAAGUUCACAAUUGUAAAGGAAAUGUACAAAAAAGGUAAAAUACACGGUCGCAUAUCAAUUAUUUCCAGUAGGUGAAUUUACUUUGAAAUUAACACGUAAAGCAAGGUGUUUAGAUGAACGAAGCUCCAUUAGCUCGAUUUCGUUUCAACAAAGAGCUAAAUUGAAUUGAUUUCAGAUAAUCGAUACAAACUUUUUAUGAAAUUAGCUCCAAAAAGUUUUCAAGAAUCGUCAAAAAUCAAAUCAAUAACUAUAAACAUUUAAGCGGCAUUUCGCAUAAGAAUCAAGAAAUAAAGCUUGUAACUAUAAGCAAAAUUAAAAGAAGAACAAGCUUAAAUAUAAAAGAAAUCCAUUAUUAUGUACCAGAAACAAUUAUAACAAUCAUAAUACUCCUCAAAUCACAAAAAAAAAAAGCAACAAGAUCCAGAAAUCAACAUCCGUAAUCUCUACACGCUGCUAAAGGAAGAAAGAAAAAAAAACGAGAGAAAUCGAGAGUUUUAUAUACUACUAGUCUAGUUAAAUCUCAUCCUCUACUAAAAUUCCACACGAGUAAACGUAAAUCCAUCCGUAAAAGAAUAUAAUACGCUCAGAUCUGGAGUUUAGAUCCAAAAGCGAGACCAGCGACAGCGGCGAGAAAACCUACAAUGAACGAUGGCGAAAUUGCGGUGGCUGGUGAUACAGGACUAGGAGCCGGAGCCUCGGCAGCGGAGGCGACGGAUAGGACGGCGGCGAGCACCGACAUUGUUGCAAGAACCAUCACUUUAGUGGAAGCCAUUGGUGAGAGGGUAGAGUUUUGAGAUUUUGUUCAAUUGGUUAUAGAUUUGAAGGAAAUGGUGGUGAAUGAAGAAGGUAAAAGGGAAAGGGGUGGGUUUAUAUAGAAGGAGAGAGGGGAAGUUGCGGGCAGGUUGGGUAGCUGCCCGAAUAACAGACUGGCGAUAUGUUAGUUGCCAGCUGGAUGAGCUUCUGUUGUGUCUCCUCAACAGAUUC
rnacentral:lncRNA from 1 species